GUUUCCGUAGGGCAGUCGGUAGCGCUUCAGUCUCAUAAUCUGAAGGUACUGAGUUCGAGCCUCACCGUGAGCA
rfam:Angiostrongylus cantonensis strain Taiwan genome assembly, scaffold: ACAC_scaffold0000713